rnacentral:rRNA from 1 species
ACACAUGCAAGUCGAACGAUGAACCUGGGAGCUUGCUUCUGGGGGAUUAGUGGCGAACGGGUGAGUAACACGUGAGCAACCUGCCCCUGACUCUGGGAUAAGCGCUGGAAACGGUGUCUAAUACUGGAUAUGAAACGGAACCGCAUGGUUAUCGUUUGGAAAGAUUUUUCGGUUGGGGAUGGGCUCGCGGCCUAUCAGCUUGUUGGUGAGGUAAUGGCUCACCAAGGCGUCGACGGGUAGCCGGCCUGAGAGGGUGACCGGCCACACUGGGACUGAGACACGGCCCAGACUCCUACGGGAGGCAGCAGUGGGGAAUAUUGCACAAUGGGCGGAAGCCUGAUGCAGCAACGCCGCGUGAGGGAUGACGGCCUUCGGGUUGUAAACCUCUUUUAGUAGGGAAGAAGCGAAAGUGACGGUACCUGCAGAAAAAGCACCGGCUAACUACGUGCCAGCAGCCGCGGUAAUACGUAGGGUGCAAGCGUUAUCCGGAAUUAUUGGGCGUAAAGAGCUCGUAGGCGGUUUGUCGCGUCUGCUGUGAAAUUCCGAGGCUCAACCUCGGGCUUGCAGUGGGUACGGGCAGACUAGAGUGCGGUAGGGGAGAUUGGAAUUCCUGGUGUAGCGGUGGAAUGCGCAGAUAUCAGGAGGAACACCGAUGGCGAAGGCAGAUCUCUGGGCCGUAACUGACGCUGAGGAGCGAAAGGGUGGGGAGCAAACAGGCUUAGAUACCCUGGUAGUCCACCCCGUAAAC